rnacentral:rRNA from 1 species
UAAAACCAGCACCUCAAGUGGUCAGGAUGAUUAUUGGGCCUAAAGCAUCCGUAGCCUGCUUUGUCAGUUUUCGGUUAAAUCCAUACGCUCAACGUAUGGGCUGCCGGGAAUACUGCAAAACUAGGGAGUGGGAGAGGUAGACGGUACUCGGGAGGAAGGGGUAAAAUCCUUUGAUCUCUCGAUGACCACCUGUGGCGAAGGCGGUCUACCAGAACACGUCCGACGGUGAGGGAUGAAAGCUGGGGGAGCAAACCGGAUUAGAUACCCGGGUAGUCCCAGCUGUAAACUAUGCAAACUCAGUGAUGCAUUGGCUUGAUGCCAAUGCAGUGUUGCAGGGAAGCCGUUAAGUUUGCCGCCUGGGAAGUACGUACGCAAGUAUG